rnacentral:rRNA from 1 species
GUGGGGGAUAUUGCGCAAUGGGGCCAACCCUGACGCAGCAACGCCGCGUGAAGGAUGAAGGUUUUCGGAUUGUUAACUUCUUUUAUUAAGGACGAAAAAUGACGGUACUUAAUGAAUAAGCUCCGGCUAACUACGUGCCAGCAGCCGCGGAAAUACGUAGGGAGCAAGCGUUGUCCGGAUUUACUGGGUGUAAAGGGUGCGUAGGCGGCUUUGCAAGUCAGAUGUGAAAUCUAUGGGCUCAACCCAUAAACUGCAUUUGAAACUGUAGAGCUUGAGUGAAGUAGAGGCAGGCGGAAUUCCCCGUGUAGCGGUGAAAUGCGUAGAGAUGGGGAGGAACACCAGUGGCGAAGGCGGCCUGCUGGGCUUUAACUGACGCUGAGGCACGAAAGCGUGGGUAGCAAACAGGAUUAGAUACCCUGGUAGUCCACGCUGUAAACGAUGAUUACUAGG